rnacentral:rRNA from 1 species
GACGAACCGUGCGAACGUUGUUCGGAUUCACUGGGCUUAAAGGGCGCGUAGGCGGUACGUCAAGUCUGGGGUGAAAUCUUUCGGCUCAACCGGAAAAUUGCCUGAGAUACUGGCGUGCUCGAGGGAGGUAGGGGCAGCGGGAACUGCCGGUGGAGCGGUGAAAUGCGUUGAUAUCGGCAGGAACGCCGGUGGCGAAAGCGCGUUGCUGGACCUCUUCUGACGCUGAUGCGCGAAAGCGUGGGGAGCGAACAGG